rnacentral:rRNA from 1 species
UGGGGAAUAUUGGACAAUGGGCGAAAGCCUGAUCCAGCCAUGCCGCGUGUGUGAAGAAGGUCUUCGGAUUGUAAAGCACUUUAAGUUGGGAGGAAGGGCAUUAACCUAAUACGUUAGUGUUUUGACGUUACCGACAGAAUAAGCACCGGCUAACUCUGUGCCAGCAGCCGCGGUAAUACAGAGGGUGCAAGCGUUAAUCGGAAUUACUGGGCGUAAAGCGCGCGUAGGUGGUUUGGUAAGUUGGAUGUGAAAUCCCCGGGCUCAACCUGGGAACUGCAUUCAAAACUGACUGAGUAGAGUAUGGUAGAGGGUGGUGGAAUUUCCUGUGUAGCGGUGAAAUGCGUAGAUAUAGGAAGGAACACCAGUGGCGAAGGCGACCACCUGGACUAAUACUGACACUGAGGUGCGAAAGCGUGGGGAGCAAACA